rnacentral:rRNA from 1 species
GGCUGAGAGAUCAGCUGUUCCCUUCGGGGACAGAAUGACAGGUGGUGCAUGGUUGUCGUCAGCUCGUGUCGUGAGAUGUUGGGUUAAGUCCCGCAACGAGCGCAACCCUUAUGAUCAGUUGCCAGCAUUCAGUUGGGCACUCUGGUCAGACUGCCGGUGACAAACCGGAGGAAGGCGGGGAUGACGUCAAAUCAUCAUGCCCCUUAUGACCUGGGCUACACACGUGCUACAAUGGGUGGUACAACGAGCAGCGAGACCGCGAGGUCAAGCGAAUCUCUAAAAACCAUCCUCAGUUCGGAUUGCAGGCUGCGACUCGCCUGCAUGAAGCUGGAAUCGCUAGUAAUCGCGGAUCAGCACGCCGCGGUGAAUACGUUCCCGGGUCUUGUACACACCGA